GGGUGACUAGUGACAGAGUGAGGAAGGGGGUGACUAGUGACAGAGGGAGGGGUGACUAGGGACAGAGUGAGGGAGGUGGUGACUAGUGACAGUUACCACCUCCCUCACUCUGUCACUAGUCACCACCUCCCUCACUCUGUCACCAGUCAUCCCCUCACUCUGUCACUAGUGACCCCUUCCUUCCCUCAUUCUGCCACUAGUCACCCCCUCACUCUGUCACCUGUCACCCCCUCACUCUGUCACUAGUCACCCC